AUUGAACGCUGGCGGCAAGCCUUACACAUGCAAGUCGAACGGCAGCGGACCUUCGGGUGCCGGCGAGUGGCGAACGGGUGAGUAAUAUAUCGGAACGUACCUUUCAGCGGGGGAUAACGUAGCGAAAGUUACGCUAAUACCGCAUAUUUCUGUGAGCAGGAAAGCAGGGGAUCGCAAGACCUUGCGCUGAUUGAGCGGCCGAUAUCAGAUUAGCUAGUUGGUGAGGUAAAGGCUCACCAAGGCGACGAUCUGUAGCGGGUCUGAGAGGAUGAUCCGCCACACUGGAACUGAGACACGGUCCAGACUCCUACGGGAGGCAGCAGUGGGGGAAUUUUGGACAAUGGGCGCAAGCCUGAUCCAGCCAUGCCGCGUGAGUG
rnacentral:rRNA from 1 species